AACAAACACAAUAUGGACAACAAGCAAAUCUAAAUAGCCUAAAUGCAAUAAAAAUAAAGCACACCAAGAUAUACGUGGAAACCCAAACAAGAGAAAACCACGGGUACCGUAUGCCGGCACCAAGCCCUUCCACUAAUUGAAAAUAAAUUAAUGAGUACACCAAAUUAACCUUCUCCAAACAAUGCUAGAGGUUCUACGACAUCAAACAACAAGUUUGGAACAAAUUAUUCUCCAUAUACAUCACUAAUAAGUGAAUAAACUCAAUUACGGAGAUAUUAGGGCUAAAUAGAGAUUACCAACAUCCAAAGCACAAAACAACAAUCUAACCGUUGUAUAUGUAGCAUGGGAUGGCAGGAACUUUGUGUCAAAAUUUGGAGUCAAUCGGGCAACGUCUAACCAUCCGGUUGAGCUAUAAACCGGACAGCUUCUAUGGAGAAGUUCCCCUUCUCCUUCUCUGCCUUCCUCUAUUUUGUGCGCGGGAUUUGUGUAGCUUGCUGUCACACUUCCAAUUUCCAGCUGGUCUCCCUAUUUCAACCCCUUAUUUGAUUUACUUACUUACCUUUUACUUCAUAUGGGCCCAAGAGUGAAUAUCCAUAUGGUUAUACCAUUUAUAUGGUUAUAACUCCACAUGUUUUAGUAAGUUAUAUGGAAGUGUAGAGGCCUCGAGACGAAUUAACUUGGUGUUAGGAACUAUGAAGUCAAUGUUUGAUGAUUAUAAGUUGCAAUAUGCUAGUAGUUCACCUAUUGUAGUUGCUCUUUCUCGUCCUAGUACUUCCGGAGCUAGAAAUUACUUUGAUGAUUAUGACCAUUUUGUCGGCACUAGUACAAGGUCUCAAGUAGGAAAGUCACAACUUGAGAUGUACUUAGAUGAUGAUGCUUUAGAUCUCAAUUCACGAUUAGAUAUUUUGGAGUUUUGGCAUCAAAGUUCUGUGAGGUAUCCUGUGGUAUCUAAGAUGGCACGGGAUUUGUUGACUAUUCCUGUGAGUAUUGUGGCUUCGGACUCAGCUUUUAGUAUUGGGGGAAAGACUGUUUCGGCAUCGCGAAGUUUGUUAAAGUCAAAAACUAUUCAAGCUUUAGUAUGUUUGCAAGAUUAGCAUCGUGAAAGCAUCAAGUAGAGGUUGAUAAUGAACUUGAAGAUGAAAUCAUUGAAGAAGAAGAGGAUGAUGAUGGAGACCCUUUCUACUAGCAAGUGUUGUGGAUUAGCUAGUAACGUUGGAAGAAAAGCUAUCAGUCUUGAUGAACUAGAUGACUUUGCUCCAGAAGAAGGGAUGAUUCUUGUAAAUACUACAUCUGUUGGAAUGAAACCAAAAAUAGCCGAAACACCUAUUUCUAAGAACUUUUUAUCAUAAUCAAGAGCAUCAUACAGUAGCAGGACUUGACAACUGAUCUGAGGAGAUUGAUGAGCAGUUGACAACCAUUAGCGAGCGUGAUUGAUUUGGAUGUGUUUAACUAGGUGGGCUGGCGUAGUGUGCUAGUUGGUUUUCAGUACAUUGGUUGUUGAAAAUGUAAUUUGAACUUUGUGGAUUUCAGAAUUUUUACAAUUUUGAUACUGAGCACUCCCUCUGUCCCUUUAUUUUUGCCCCAUUUGACUUUGUUCGGUCUCCAAGACACGUAUUAAAAUGUUUCUAUCUCCAAAUCUGUACGCUCAAAAGUUAUAAAUAGUUGAUAUUAAUUAAAUUUAUAAUGAGACGAAUAAAAUAAGAUCUCACAUGACUAUAUUCCCUUUUGUAGAAUAAUGGGAAUUUAUGGUCAAAGUUUUUAAAGUUUGACCCACAUUUUGGCAAUGGGGCAAAAAAUUAGGGACGGAGGAAGUAUUAAAUUUCCCACUUAAAUGUAUUAAUUUUCAAGGGAGUAUUAAUGUUCAAGAGAGUAUUUUUGUUUCA